ensembl:lncRNA
AAGAAAAAGAGGGAGCCAGGCAGAGUGUCCAGUUCUUUGAGAGUGCUGGGUGAAUCUGAGGGCAAUGCGAUUGGUUUUAAUCAGCAUAAUUUAUUCAAGCCCAGAACUGUAGCUCUUCUGUCUGACUGCAGGAAUCCCACAGCCCCUCAUCUACUAAGGGCUGGCAGGGAGCACAAAUACUUCAAAACUACCAGCAGCCCUUUCUUCUCCUAUGGAACGUACUUGAAGCCUCACCCCCAAACAAUUGUCAGUUGCCAAAUUAAACUGCUGUCUCUUGGACUCCAUGGAAGCCAGCUAGUUCUGGGAGACCCUUAAGUUCACAGAGCACAGAUAAAGGCUAAGGAAGUGCUUGAGAAACCCAGGAUGAAUAAUGCACUUAUCCAAAACCAAGAAUGUUUUUCUAGUAACAGUUUCUCAAUAUUCACUUUUUGUGUUACUUAAAUCAGUCUAAAGGAGUUGCAUAUUUGCAACUAGUCUAGUCUUUGCUAGGCUGUGUAGGGAUGGAGUCAGGAAAGCCAAGGCGCAGCUUGAACUAAACUUGGCAAGGGAUUCCAAGAAGAACAAGGAUGGCUUCUACAGGUACCUCAACAAGAAAAGGAAAGUCCAGGACAGCGUACCCUGACAGUGAGUGACACAGACAAGCUGAUAACAACAGACGAGGAGAAGGCUGAGGUACUUAACAGCUUUUUUGCCUCGGUCUUCUCUGAUAACUGCUCACCACACAGCCUUCAAAUGUCUGGUUUGGUAGGAGAGGAUCCGGGAAGGAACGUCCCUCUCACUGUAAGCAAUAAUCAAGUUUGUUACCACCUGAGGAACAUGAACAUCCACAAGCCUCUGGGUCCCGAAGAGAUGUAUCUCAGAAUCCUGAGGAAAUUGGCUGAUUUAGUUGCCAAGACACUCCUAGUGAUAUUUGAAAAGUCCUGGCAGUCAGGUGAAGUCUCUGGUGACUGGAAAAAAGGCAACAUCACAUCUAUUUUUAAGAAGAGUAAAAAGGAUGACCCCAUGAAUUACUGACCUGUUAGUCUCACCUCUGUGCUGGGGAAGAUCAUGGAGCAGAUCCUCCUGGAAGCUAUUCUUAGCCACAUGGAAAGCAGGGAGAUGAUACAGGAGAAUCAACAUGCCUUCACCAAGGGUCCUUGUGGCCCUCCUCUGAACCUAUUCCAACAGGUCUAUGUCUCUGUUCUGCUGGAGACCCCAGGCCUGGACGCAGCACUUCAGGUGGGACCUCAUGAGAGCAGAGCAGAGGGGGACAAUUACCCCCCUUGCCCUUUUGUUUGCCCCUUUUUUCAGGGGCAUGAGCUGCUGGCUCAUGUCGAACUUUUCAUCCACCAAUUCCCCCAAGUCCUUCAACACAGGGCAAUUCAAAAUAAUUUAUCCUUUUGCCUAGAACAAAGCAAGGAAUCUGAAAAUUGCCCCACUCAGUGUGUUAUUGGGAUUAACGCAGGAUUUGCUGUUAGCUGUUGCUAUCAAGUGAUCGGACUAAGGGCUACAUCCCUGGUGAAUAUUAGAUGUUGAGCUCCUAAAAUGGGCACUCGUUUUGAAUGGUGAUGACCUCUGUGCAAAAGGCAGGAAUCCAUAGAGAGGAGACUGACAAACAUCCUGCUGAGCCAGAUUGUCCUCUGCCUGAGAAAAGUGCCCUUCUCUGGGGACUCCUUGGACAAAACUCCUGAAAGUAUGUGUCUAUGCUCAUUUUUAUUCUAAAUAGAGCAAGAGGUCAUGCCUGUAUGAUGCCAUCAGAGGAAGUGUCUUUCCUCUUCCCUACUGAUAAAUUCAGUGCAGUCAUGUGCGACGUGAUGUACAGAAGUUCAGUCCCCUCUCCUCCCUGUUGCAAUUCAACACCAUGUAUUCCAUCUUUAAGCACCCACCAAGUAUAGAGUAUGCCAGUCCAUGCUGCAAAACCACUUCAUUCAUGUUGUAUAAAAACUGUUUAUGAUAAUAACAUUUUUUUCCCCAUAUCCUGGAUGAAUAUUCUCUUUCCUGGGGAAAAAGCUGAAGGAAAUUUAUAUGGUACCUACACAGUGCAU